rnacentral:rRNA from 1 species
GACGAACGCUGGCGGCGUGCUUAACACAUGCAAGUCGAACGGAACGGCCCUGCUUUUGUGGGGUGCUCGAGUGACGAACGGGUGAGUAACACGUGAGUACCCUGCCCCUGACUUUGGGAUAUCUUCAGGAAACUGGGGCUAAUACCGCAUAGGAGCUCCUGCUGCAUGGUGGGGGUUGGAUAGUUUCGGCGGUUGGGGAUGGACUCGCGGCUUAUCAGCUUGUUGGUGGGGUAGUGGCUUAGCAUGGCUUUGACGCGUAGCCGGGCUGGUCGGGGGACCGGACAAGCUGGGCCUGGGAUACGGCACAGACCCGAACGGGAGGCAGGAGUGGGGAGUAUUGCAUAGUGGGCGGAAGGCAGACGUAGCAACGCCGCGUGCGGUAUGUCGGGCUUCGGGUUGGAAUCUGCUGUUGUCUGUGACGAAGCGUGAGUGACGGUAAUGGGUAAAGAAGCACCGGCUAACUACGUG